UACGAAGGGGGCUAGCGUUGUUCGGAAUUACUGGGCGUAAAGGGCGCGUAGGCGGUGUGUCAAGUCAGGCGUGAAAGCCCCGGGCUCAACCUGGGAACCGCGCUUGAGACUGGCACGCUAGAGUUCGGGAGAGGAUGGUGGAAUUCCCAGUGUAGAGGUGAAAUUCGUAGAUAUUGGGAAGAACACCGAUGGACGAAGGCAGCCAUCUGGACCGACACUGACGCUGAGGCGCGAAAGCGUGGGGGAGAAACAGGAUUGA
rnacentral:rRNA from 1 species